UACAGAGUUGGCAAUCGUUGUUCGGAAUUACUGGUCGUAAAGGGCGCGUAUGUGGCCUUUUCAGUCAGACGUGAAAUCCCCAGGCUUAACCUGGGAACUGCGUCUGAUACUGGAAGGCUUGAGUUCGGGAGAGAGAUGUGGAAUUCCAGGUGUAGCGGUGAAAUGCGUAGAUAUCUGGAGGAACACCGGUGGCGAAGGCGGCAUCCUGGACCGAAACUGACACUGAGGCGCGAAAGCCAGGGGAGCAAACGGG
rnacentral:rRNA from 1 species